rnacentral:tRNA from 1 species
GAUUAUUGAACUUGUACAAGUAUAUAUUUUGAAAAUAUAACAAAGAGUUAAACCUCUAUUAAUCU